UACGAAGGGGGCUAGCGUUGCUCGGAAUUACUGGGCGUAAAGGGCGCGUAGGCGGAUAUUUAAGUUGGGGGUGAAAUCCCGGGGCUCAACCUCGGAAUUGCCUUCAAAACUGGAUAUCUUGAGUUCGAGAGAGGUGGGUGGAAUUCCUAGUGUAGAGGUGAAAUUCGUAGAUAUUAGGAAGAACACCGGUGGCGAAGGCGGCCCACUGGCUCGACACUGACGCUGAGGUGCGAAAGCGUGGGGAGCAAACAGG
rnacentral:rRNA from 1 species